rnacentral:rRNA from 1 species
UACGAAGGGGGCUAGCGUUGUUCGGAUUUACUGGGCGUAAAGGGCGCGUAGGCGGAUUUUUAAGUCAGGGGUGAAAUCCCAAGGCUCAACCUUGGAACUGCCUUUGAUACUGGGGAUCUUGAGUCCGGGAGAGGUGAGUGGAACUGCGAGUGUAGAGGUGAAAUUCGUAGAUAUUCGCAAGAACACCAGUGGCGAAGGCGGCUCACUGGCCCGAUACUGACGCUGAGGCACGAAAGCGUGGGGAGCAAACAGG